AAACCGUUUAGGGGUAAACCUGAGAAACCCGAAAGGUCGAAGGGAGAAAUUCAUUCGCGUUUCGCCGUUGGCGUGAGACGGUCGUGUGACGGAAAACGUUCGCGUUUUCCGCACCUUUCGUUUUUCGAUCCGAUAGCGAACGCGUGCACUUUUCUCCUGGUAGGACGUCGCGAUCCGUUGGGUGUCGGUCUACGGCUCGCGGUGGAGCCCGGAUGUACGGCUUGCCGUUACGUUCGGACCCGUGUGUCCCGGCUGACUCGCUCGACGGUAUACGAAAGGUUUAAGGCCGCUCUUUGAGCGUUCGGCUCGUCGCAAGCGCGUCAGAUGUGUCGGUGAUCGGACCUAGUGCCGGUUCUGACCUCUGGCGACUGUUGGCGGCGAAGUUCUCGAACAGACCUUCGACCGAUCUGCGACGCUAUAGCUUUGGGUACUUUCAGGACCCGUCUUGAAACACGGACCAAGGAGUCUAGCAUGUGCGCAAGUCAUUGGGAAUCACUAAACCUAAAGGCGCAAUGAAAGUAAAGGUCCGCCUUGCGCGGACUGAGGGAAGACGAGCGGUUUACCCUUAAAAGUGGCCGCUCCGCAUUCCCGGGGCGUCUCAUUCUCAUCGCGAGAAGAGGCGCACCAAGAGCGUACACGCUGGGACCCGAAAGAUGGUGAACUAUGCCUGGUCAGGACGAAGUCAGGGGAAACCCUGAUGGAGGUCCGUAGCGAUUCUGACGUGCAAAUCGAUCGUCGGAACGGG
rnacentral:rRNA from 1 species